rnacentral:snRNA from 1 species
AAACUGCCACUGUGGCAGUAUCAUAACCCAUGAAGUUAAACAGAGGUGUGAUUGUUACUAAUUGAAAACUGCCAUUGUGCCUGAUUAUGAGGCUUGAAUCAAUACAGUAUUGACUUAGAUCAGAGAUAAAUUUGAGACAGUUCCCUUCCCAGAG